UACAGAGGUCUCAAGCGUUGCUCGGAUUCAUUGGGCGUAAAGGGUGCGUAGGCGGCGCGGUAAGUCGGGUGUGAAAUCUCGGAGCUUAACUCCGAAACUGCAUUCGAUACUGCCGUGCUUGAGGACUGGAGAGGAGACUGGAAUUUACGGUGUAGCGGUGAAUGCGUAGAUAUCGUAGGGAAGACCAGUGGCGAAGGCGGGUCUCUGGACAGUUCCUGACGCUGAGGCACGAAGGUCAGGGGAGCAAACGGGG
rnacentral:rRNA from 1 species